rnacentral:lncRNA from 1 species
AGCCCACAAAAAUGCAGUGAAGAAGAAGAUAUAUGCAUAUGUUUAAGUUAAUACAAUUGAGAUACAUUUAGCAGACAGAAUCAAUAGAGUUGAUGAGUGACUGACUGGAUGUGUGGGGAGUUUAUAUCACUCCCAGGUUUUUGACUUGGGCAACCGGGCACUCAAGAAGGAAAAAGAGGAUCCAGGGAGAGGAACUUUUCUGAGGACUGGGGUAGGGCUGAACAGCUGCAUUCGAGACUGGUGGAGGGUGGGCUGGGCAUGGGAUGCACAAAUGGAAAUUCCACUGGGUCUGCAGCUCACACAUAGGCAUGACCAGCAUAGAGAUAGAGAGGCCCCAGUGCUGCUGAGUAACUGUGAUUCCCCAGGUGAUGGCAUCAGCUGAGAAGGGAAGGAAGCCCAUGUGAGGACACUGAAGAAGGAGUGAGCAGACAAUAAGAAGCCCACAGAAGACAGAGAAGGAACAACUAGAGGGAGAAGCCAAGGCAGGCAUGUGUGAUAACAUAUAGGAACUGAGGGAGAGGACAUUUCAAGAUGGAGGGGAUGCCAUACAACAGGACUAUGUGAUGGUUUUUGGCUGUGUCCAUAGGAAGUCACAACAGGCAAGGGAAAGAAACCAGAACCCAGUCAUGGAGUUAAGAAGUGAGUCAGAGAGGAGAUGGGUAGGGACAGUGAGGUAAGGCCUCUUUCUAAGGAAGUUUGGCUGAAGGAUAGACUAGCUGGACACAUGCUGGCUGUGUGGGGUAGAGGGAGGAAUGAUGGAGGGUAGGAGAGCCUUGAGCCUGCGAGAAGAGUCUCCUAGAAUAGAGAAGCUGAGGUUAAAGUUGUGGAAGACAGUGGGGAUAACUGAGUGACAGAUAAUCAGGAGAAGAAAAGGAGAUCCAGAAUCAUGACAGAGAGAUGACCUUUGCCAAGAGCACAGCCAUCUUUCACUGUCACAGAGAGGUAGGACAAAACGAUUGGUGUUCAAGAAUUGGUUUGUAGCACAAUAUUUUAACUAUGUCCUUUAAAAAGUUUCUCCACAGACACUACCCAAAGCAGUCCUUCACUACAGUGGCAGACAGACCUGAAAAUUUUCAUCUGAAGCAGCAGAGUGAACUGCAGAGUCAGGUCACCAACCAGUGUGGAGGCUAAAAGCGGGCCUCUUUGGGGAUUCCAGGUGGAAGUGUUGGACAUCUGUAGUAUUCCUGGUCUCAAAUCAUCCUGAUAUUCUUCAUUUUGUUAUUCACAUUGGACUAGGGCAAGGAAAUGAGUUCUGGUCAGAGUCAAUGUUUCCCAACAAUGUUGAUUUAUUUGGUCCUAAAUAUUUAAACACAUUUUAUAAAUAGCUUUUCCACACCACAUAUAUAGGGAAAAACAGGGAAUUAACUUGGCCCAGCAGCACUGUUUGUGGGGCUAACACCCUGUGUAUCUCACACCAACCCUAAGCUUUGUUUCCCUCCUGUCACUUUGCUCCUAUUUCUUUCAUAUGAAAGAAUGUUCAUUUUCUUUGAAAAUGAGCUCAUUUCCUCAUUUUCUUUCCAUCUUUCAGCAGGAACAAAGAUCACCACAACUGGCUCCCCUUCAACUAUGUUAGAUGGCAACUUGCCUUCAGUAUGGUGAAACACAUCAGUUAAGACUGGGGUUGUGCAUGGCAGGACUUUCUACAAGGACACCCAGUCUCCUUAAUAAACAUGAGAUGCUCUCUUUCCAGAAGUUCUCUUGCCUGACACAGCAUAGGAAGAUGCUGAACGGCCACACAGUGACCCAUUGAGAUAGAAUCUCACUAUGUUGACCAGGCUGGUCUUGAACUCUUGGCACCCAAGCGAUCCUUUUGCCUGGAAUCCCAAAGUGUCAGAUUUACUGAAGAAUAUUUCAUUGUAAUUACUUUUUAUACUUUAUAGGUCAAGAGCUCUGUUUUAAAGACAAAAUUUAUUGAAUAUACUUUUUCAAACAAAGUUUCAUGUUCUAAUCAUUGUCUGAUUUCAGCAUUAAAUGAAACACAGUAAAGAAAGUUGGGCUGA